UGCCAAUAGCGACGCAUUUCUUUCUGUUUGCCCAAGGCGAGUUGACACACAACGAAGUACCCGUUCAAGAAGGUCAAAAAUUGUUGAAUUUCAGUUCAUCCGACGUACUGUAAGGUUCCAUAACAAAAUGCUUUCAUCAAGCCGUUUUAUCCUCGCGAUUACAAUGGUGCUGGCCUUCUCAGCCAUUGGAAGUGCCUUGAUUUGUAACGUCUGCGCAUACUCGUCCAAAUCCCCCGCUGCCCAGCAGAAGUGCGGGAAUACGACUGUUAACUGCACCUCGGGGUAUUGUUUCGCAACGCGCUACACUGGGGCUGAUGGCACCGAAGUUGUUGCACGAUCUUGCGACAAUCCUAACGACAAGGCCUGUCCGGAUGCCGAAGCAACGUGCGAGACACGAACCAAAACAUUCCAGCUGAAAUCAUGCGCCGCGUAUUGUUGCAAAACAGAUAAGUGUAACAAUUAUAACCCCAGCAGUGCCACGGGUGUCAUGGCGGCGAAGUUUGGCCUGUUCUUGAUGGUCGCCGUUGGAUUGUUGUUUGCUUAAGUUGAUGAUGGACUUCACGCAUUUUCUAUGUUGACUGUCUGAGUGUCUUUAAUUCUGUUAUUUCUUGCUUUAAAUGUUUUACUAUACUUUAAAUAUAGUUUCCUAGCUCUAGUACUUGCUUUAAAUGUCUUACUAUACUUUAAAUGUAGUUUCCUAGCUCUAGUACUUGCUUUAAAUGUUUUACUAAAAUAGGUUGCAUUUCAUUUUUUCUUUCAUUGCUCAUUUUACUGAAUAUAGUUUUGUGAGAUUAGCGAGCUGACUUAUUAUGGAAUCCGCAUAUAGUCAGGCCUUGUGUUUGAGAGGGGGGGGAGCUCUCGUUUUGGCCACGAUCUCUCCUGGCUGACUUGAGGCGUUUCUAUCCUGAGGCGACUGCAGGGUGAAGUUCGGCUGAGCGAUAAUUUCGUUGUGAUCAAGACUUGCAUUGAAUUCAUGUGGCCAAUAUUGAAAAAUAUGGUUAAAAAUUUCGACUAAUCUUUUUUGUGAUUUCUGAUCUAAUUACAAAAAAAAAUUACCUGCUUACUUUGCGUAAAAAUAGAUAUUUAGAAUAGUAGGCAACCAACUUUACUACAAGUUUUUAUUGACACUUUCAGCUGUUGCGGUGUUGCGUGACAGUGAUGGAGUGCGUUCUGUGAAAUACAGCCGGCUUUGUUUGCUUUCAUUGAGCAAGCGAAUUUUUUUAUUGACAUCCAUGCAGUGUCUGACCAAUGGGAAUAGAGAUUCUAAGUGCGAUGUCGUCAUCACAUCCGUAUAUGGCGCAGACUUUUCAUGGAUUUUUUUGUCAUAGACAAUAGGAGACGCCGUCUAUAGCGACGCAUUUCUUUCUGUUUGCCCAAAGCGAGUUGACACACAGCGAAGUACCGAUCAAGAAGAUAAAAAAUUGUAGAUUUUCAGUUCAUCCGACGUAAGAUUCUAUAACAAAAUGCUUUCAUCAAGUCGUUUUAUCCUCGCGAUUACAAUUGUGCUGGCUUUCUCAGCCAUUGAAAGUGCCUUGAUAUGUAACUCCUGCGAAUACACGUCAAAAUCACCCGCUGCCCAGCAGAAUUGCCGGAAUAAGACUGUUAACUGCGCCUCGGAGUAUUGUUACGCAAUGUUCUACAUUGACGUUAAUGGCCUCGAAAAUUUUGGACGAGGUUGCAACAAUGCUACAGACAAGGUCUGUCCGGAUGCCGAAGCAACGUGCAAGGCACGAACCAAACAACUCAAGCUGAAAUCAUGCGCCGCGUAUUGUUGCAAAACAAAUAAUUGUAACAAUUAUACCGUUACCCCCAGCGGUGCCACGGGUGUCAUGGCGGCGAAGUUUGGCCUGUUCUUGAUGGUCGCCGUUGGAUUUUUUUUUGCUUAAGUUGAUGAUGGCCUUCACGCAUUUUUUAUGUUGACUGUCCGAGUGUCUUUAAUACUGUUAUUUCUUACUUUAAAUGUUUUAAUGUACUUUAAAUGUAGUUUCCUAGCUGUAAUACUUGCUUUAAAUGUUUUA